rnacentral:rRNA from 1 species
GACGAACGCUGGCGGCGCGCUUAACACAUGCAAGUCGAACGGAAAGGCCUGCUUUCCCUUGUGGAUUGCGGGUACUCGAGUGGCGAACGGGUGAGUAACACGUGAGUGAUCUGCCCCCAACUUGGGUAUAAGCCUGGGAAACUGGGUCUAAUUCCCGAUAGGACUGCAGGGUGGUGCCUGUGGUGGAAAACGAUUUUCUAGUGGUUGGGGAUGAGCUCGCGGCCUAUCAGCUUGUUGGUGGGGUAAUGGCCUACCAAGGCGGCGACGGGUAGCCGGCCUGAGAGGGUGGACGGCCACAUUGGGACUGAGAUACGGCCCAGACUCCUACGGGAGGCAGCAGUGGGGAAUAUUGCACAAUGGGCGGAAGCCUGAUACAGCGACGCCGCGUGGGGGAUGACGGCCUUCGGGUUGUAAACUCCUUUCGACCGCGAGGAAGCCACCUGGUUGGAAGGGUGGUGACGGUAGUGGUAGAAGAAGCACCGGCUAACUACGUG